GGAGAGUUGUCCGAGCUGGCCGAAGGAGCACGAUUGGAAAUCGUGUAAACGCCAAAAGCGUUUCGAGGGUUCGAAUCCCUUGCUCUCCG
rnacentral:tRNA from 1 species